rnacentral:rRNA from 1 species
GAUGAACGCUGGCGGCGUGCCUAAUACAUGCAAGUCGAGCGAACAGAUAAGGAGCUUGCUCCUUUGACGUUAGCGGCGGACGGGUGAGUAACACGUGGGUAACCUACCUAUAAGACUGGGAUAACUUCGGGAAACCGGAGCUAAUACCGGAUAAUAUUUCGAACCGCAUGGUUCGAUAGUGAAAGAUGGUUUUGCUAUCACUUAUAGAUGGACCCGCGCCGUAUUAGCUAGUUGGUAAGGUAACGGCUUACCAAGGCGACGAUACGUAGCCGACCUGAGAGGGUGAUCGGCCACACUGGAACGGAGACACGGUCCAGACUCCUACGGGAGGCAGCAGUAGGGAAUCUUCCGCAAUGGGCGAAAGCCUGACGGAGCAACGCCGCGUGAGUGAUGAAGGUCUUCGGAUCGUAAAACUCUGUUAUUAGGGAAGAACAUACGUGUAAGUAACUGUGCACGUCUUGACGGUACCUAAUCAGAAAGCCACGGCUAACUACGUG